rnacentral:rRNA from 1 species
CGGCGGACGGGUGAGUAACACGUGGGUAACCUGCCUCAAAGUGGGGGAUAGCCUUCCGAAAGGAAGAUUAAUACCGCAUAACAUAAGAGAAUCGCAUGAUUUUCUUAUCAAAGAUUUAUUGCUUUGAGAUGGACCCGCGGCGCAUUAGCUAGUUGGUAAGGUAACGGCUUACCAAGGCAACGAUGCGUAGCCGACCUGAGAGGGUGAUCGGCCACAUUGGAACUGAGACACGGUCCAGACUCCUACGGGAGGCAGCAGUGGGGAAUAUUGCGCAAUGGGGGAAACCCUGACGCAGCAACGCCGCGUGGGUGAUGAAGGUCUUCGGAUUGUAAAGCCCUGUUUUCUGGGACGAUAAUGACGGUACCAGAGGAGGAAGCCACGGCUAACUACGUGCCAGCAGCCGCGGUAAUACGUAGGUGGCGAGCGUUGUCCGGAUUUACUGGGCGUAAAGGGUGCGUAGGCGGAUGUUUAAGUGGGAUGUGAAAUCCCCGGGCUUAACCUGGGGGCUGCAUUCCAAACUGGAUAUCUAGAGUGCAGGAGAGGAAAGCGGAAUUCCUAGUGUAGCGGUGAAAUGCGUAGAGAUUAGGAAGAACACCAGUGGCGAAGGCGGCUUUCUGGACUGUAACUGACGCUGAGGCACGAAAGCGUGGGUAGCAAACAGGAUUAGAUACCCUGGUAGUCCACGCCGUAACGAUGGAUACUAGGUGUAGGGGGGUAUCAACUCCCCCUGUGCCGCAGUUUAACACAAUAAGUAUCCCCGCCCUGGGGGAGUACG